AAGAUGCAGAAAAAUCUGCAGCUGGGUCUCGGAUCGGCUGCUGCCCGUGGAAUAAAAGCGUGCUGGUGUCUCGUUAGAGGUAAUUAGCACUCAGGGCGGCACGGCGCGCACCGUGGGCGUCUGAAGGUGACGUGCUGCAGCCCGGGGACAGCUCGGAUGUGACGCUGCCGGUCGGAUCCUGCCCGCUGUCCCGGAGGGGACAGCCGUGGGAGCAGGUCCCAGCUGAGCAGUCUGGGGACACGGUGCCAGGGACGCUCUGCAGGUGACAUGGCGCUGGGGAGUAUUUUUCUUUUCAUUAAGCAACAAGCCCCAAGCUGACUCUUGAGCAACUUACUGUGUUAUCACUGCAACGGACGGGUUAAAACCUGUGCAUCUUAUCUCGCGUUUGCUUUGCUCUCCCAGCUGUGCCAGAGCAUCUUCCCCUGCUCGUCCCCAGGUGUCGUUGCAGGUCUGGGUCUGCACGCUCGCUCGUGGGCACUGGGGUGCAGGCGGUGGCUGCUGCGCUGAUGACGCCUGCGGGUGCUGCCGCCCUGGGGAAAACAAAAAACAAAAAAUACACAAAAU